UUAGACAUCCUUCUGUGGAAGGCGGCGGAGGCGGAGUCGUGGUCGCACCUGGUCGCACAGGUUGCUGCUGGCACCCUGCGUGUGGCGUGCGCUGGGACUCAGCUCUGGGGAAAAAGCGAAGUAAGCGUUGGAAAUAUGCAGCCUUUAACAGGACUAACCCGGAACAAAAAGUCAGACCUGCACCCUAGUCUGAAGGGUCUCCCUGCCAAUUUGUGAGCCUUCCUACCUUAUCUUUCACAGGCAUUUCCACCAGAGAACUCAACCUCAUGGGCUGGUAACAUCCUGUGGGACAGCCAUCUUUUUCCCCAUGCUGAGAAAAUAGGUUUGCAGAGAAGAAUAAAGCACUUGUAUGACAAGAGGCACAAAAGAGAGGCUAUGAGAUUCUACAGAUCCAGAAAUUUAAGAUUUCUGUAAGAGAAGAAAAACUUAUUGUAACAGAACAAUAAUUUAUGGAGUACGAGUAAGUGUGUGUGUGUCAAAAUAAAGGUCUUAAAGGAAAAAGUCCUGGGUCCUGACGACAGUUGUAGCUGGAGACUGAAGCACUUUACGAGAAAGCCUCAUUCUUCCAUCAGCUGGAUCUCGUCCAAAGUAUUUCACCUGUGUUAAAGAAGCAUAUUUACUUUUAAAGUUAUAGCACAUUGAUUAAAUCUAAACUAAAAGACAUUUAAAUUUACAUGGUUGAAAUAAAGCAAUGAUUGCACUCUAAGCUAACUGGCCAGCCUCAAGGCAAUGAUUAAUGUUUUUACUUAUUCACUGAAAGCAGAGCUCAGUGCUAAGUAGAGGUAUACGCUUAGUAAAUAUAAUUUGGUUAAGAAGUUAUCAAAAAAAGAUAAGAGACAAGGUCAUUUAGUUUCUAAUUAUAAUCUUGUGUUAAACUCAUCUGUGCCUUUUUAUUUUCUUCAGGCCAAGUCCCUAUAUUGGAAAAAUAGUCAAAGCCAUGGUGAGUGAUUCUAGACAAUGGCUUUCUGAGCCUAAUUGUGCUACAAACUAUACAGGAUUAAGCUUAGGUCACUAAGAUUUUCACUACUCCUCAAAGGUUCAUCCCACUAGAGUUUAUUUGGCUUCACCUUGGAAAAUUUAAGGUUUAAAGUCCCUUCUGAUGUAUAUAUAUAUAAAAAAAACCCAGCCUUAUAGAGAUAUUAUGUCUUAGUUCUCAUCUUUCCCUGAAGGCUACCUGAAUAAUGGGGCUAUAGACUGGGAGUAAACUAGAAGUCUUAGUUACUCAGGUUGUGGGUAUUAGGUAUAACUGGAACAGAAUGUGGUGCAGCCAAAAAGAGUGGCAAUGACUUCUUUCAUCCACUCAUAAAGGACUACAAAAAAGGGUCAACUUUGUUAUCAGAAUCCUAGGCCUCAACAACAUGGACUCCUAUCAAGGUCAAAAACUUUUAGCUCGGUUAGAGUGCAGUGUUGAUAACACCAAGGUCAAGGGUUUGGAUCCCCAUAACAGCCAGCCACAAAAAACCCCACAAAAAACCAAAAAGAACAAAAAAACCCUUUUAGCCUCGACUAGUGGAGAAACAACAUCUGACCACCUCAAAGAUGACAGUCAAGGCUUUCAACAAAGUUACAUUAUCAUAGUUCUCAUGUCUGUCUCCAAAGUGGAGUCUGCACAGCCACCACUGACCUGCUCUUGGAUUUUGUAAAAGCUCUAAAGAUGGCUACUGUUUUAGCUAAACUGUAAGCUCCCUGAGGGAAAGAACUGUCUUAAAUUCUUAAUGUGUCUGUUUAAGCAACCGUUAAGUUAAAAAAGAAGCACUGUUUAUAAAUACAUAUCACAGAUGUUGAUUCUAUUCUUUCAGCUUACUUUUUGAAAAUAAACUUUAAGAAUUCAGUUGCAACUUAGAACUUUAAGGCUAAAAGGUUGAACAUAGGUACCUGAAUUUCUUGGCCAACUUCUAAUCCUAGGGCAGUGGGAUGUUUAAUCUGAAAGAAAAUAUGUUAAUCAAUUAGUUGUGCAUAAUUAUCUAAUAUCCAUGGAAGUACACAUUUUUUCCCUAAGUGGAAAACAGCUUUAUUGGUUUUUCUGGUUAUAAAAUCUGUUAAUUAUAAAUAUCUAAAAUAAUAUAGAAGUAUUCAGAAGAAAGUAAAAAUCAUCCCAAAACCUCUCUUCUUGUAGAUAGCUACUGCUUACACUCCAAUGAGUACCACUUCAAAUGUCUAUUUAGUGGGUGUGUAUUGCAUGUAUAAAAGUAGACCUUUCUGUCCUUAUUUUUUUAUAAUUUGCUGAUUUUUCACUCAAUAAGUUAAGGAUGUCUUUUCAUAUUAAUAAAUGAAGCAUUAUAGUUCACUA